GGCGGGGACAGGUGAGACAGGAAAACAGGGUUCUUAAUCUGGAAGGCCCGAAUACUUUCAUUCUAUCAUGGAUUGCCGUUACAGCUACGUACUGGUUAUGGACAGUUUGAAAGGUUUCUAUACUCCAGCUUUGAGAAUUCCCCUCGGCUGCCACUAUCUGACCUGUCAUUUCCCCGACCUUCUCUAUGCCAUCUCGUCUUCUGGACACCGCUGAGCACUUCCCUUCACAGCUGUUUGAGAAGGUGGCAGGAGACUGGGUGACAGGGAGGCAGAUAAGGAAGACAUGAUUGUAAUUACUGCUGGUUGUCGUCCCUGCCUCUUCUUUCCAAGGCUACCCAUGACACGAUCCUUGGAAAAAUAUCCUUGAACUGUUUGAAGCAAAGGC
rnacentral:lncRNA from 1 species